rnacentral:rRNA from 1 species
CUGCAUGGUUGUCGUCAGCUCGUGUCGUGAGAUGUUGGGUUAAGUCCCGCAACGAGCGCAACCCCUGUCCUGUGUUGCUACUCCGCAAGGAGAGGACUCUCAGGAGACUGCCGUGGAUAACACGGAGGAAGUGGGGAUGACGUCAAAUCAUCAUGGCCUUUAUGUCCAGGGCUACACACGUGAUACAAUGGUACAGACAGAGGGCUGCAAGACCGUAAGGUGGAGCCAAUCCCUAAACUGUAUCCCAGUUCAGAUCGAGGGCUGCAAUUCGCCCUCGUGAAGUUGGAAUCGCUAGUAAUCGCGUAUCAGCGUGACGCGGUGAAUACGUUCCCGGGCCUU